rnacentral:rRNA from 1 species
UACGUAGGGUGCGAGCGUUGUCCGGAAUUAUUGGGCGUAAAGAGCUCGUAGGCGGUCUGUCGCGUCUGCUGUGAAAACCCGAGGCUCAACCUCGGGCCUGCAGUGGGUACGGGCAGACUAGAGUGCGGUAGGGGAGAAUGGAACUCCUGGUGUAGCGGUGGAAUGCGCAGAUAUCAGGAAGAACACCGAUGGCGAAGGCAGUUCUCUGGGCCGUAACUUACGCUGAGGAGCGAAAGCGUGGGGAGCGAACAGG